ensembl:lncRNA
GCUGUCUUUAGUUGGUCGGUUGCCAGGGAGACGGGCACGAGAAAAACCAGCCAAUCACCGCCGACCCAGCAACUUUUCCUUUUCCUUACUCCCGCUACCACCACCACCACCCCCGUCCCCCCUCACAAAGCUGCGCUGUGGUCCAGACAACAGUUCUAGGCUACGUAGUUCAGAACUCGUCCGGUUUUCAGUUCUUCAGGGUGAUAAGCAGACGAACCACUGACUCCCUCCAGCGCCACUAGCUAGGGCUCUUAGCCCUGUACCCCUGGCUGGCCCCCAUGUAGAGACCAGGCUGGACUAGAAUUUCUGCCUUUUACGUGCUGGGAUUACAGGUGUGUGCUACUACACCUGUAUGUAAAUAUAUUCAGGUUUGCUCGGUCCAUCAGCCUAAGGAAAUGAUGAAAUCGACCAAUUACUAAUAGGAAAUAUGUCAGAAGCUUUAAAAUUUCAUGAGAAACAUCAUGUUAAUGGGAAAGGUUUAAAGAAAAAAAUUCCCAUUGCUCGGCGACAAGCCAAAAAUAAUAAAAAAGUGCCUUACAUGUUCUCUAUACAACUAAACUCCAUUACCUGUGGGUAGUAACCCUAGGGGCACCAAAAGAAAUGACAUCUGGCAGUGGAUGUUUUCCAUUUCCCAGAAUUUGGAAAGCAAAGAUAUAUACACCAUGCAUACCAUUGACCCAUUCUCGGGGUUUCAAUGGGCAACUGCUUUAAGUUCUGAAAGGCUGACUGUGCAAUUACACACUUACUGGAAAUAAUGGCAGGGUUGGGGAUUUAGCUCAGUGGUAGAGCGCUGGCCCUGGGUUCGGUCCCCAGCUCUGAAAAAAAGAAAAAAAAAAAAAAAAGAAAUAAUGGCAAUUAUGGGUCAGCUGCACCAAUUAAAACUGAGAGUGCUCCCGCGUACGUAUCCGAUAAGAUGAAGCAGUUCUCUGCAACCGUAAGAUAAAGCACGAUACCACACAAUCCCACAGGACAAGCAGAAAGAGCCAAUCACACCUUAAAAGAGAUGCUGAGUAAACAAAAAGAGAGAAUGAAAACUGCCAGGGACAGACUAACACUCAACUUUCUUACUGUUGGCGAGAAGGGAGCUACAGCCGCUGAGAGACACUGCGUUAUCAAAAAACUGAGCAACCGG